GAGUGAUAAUCAGCUGCAUGGGUUUGAGAUGGAGCAUUUAAAUGGCUUGCACUACCUGUCCUAUGAGGUCUGCCAGAGCUGGGAAGGCUUUCUGCUGGUAUCCAUUAUGGGUGUUAAGUGAUCAGGAGACUGUUUGGCAUGUGAUGGAAGUUAAUGAGAAAUGUUAGACUGUUGUCACGUCCCAGUGUGGGAGGAGAUGUUUCAUGAAGCUAAUCACACUGAAGAUCAUGGAGGGAACACCUAAAAAUUUUAAAUGGGGUAAGAAUUCAGCUUACCUCCCUGCAAACGUGAUUUCUGUAUUUGUUUGUGGAACCCAAAUUCCGCGUGCAGCAACAAUUCCGAGAGCUUUGUUAGCUUGGUCCUGACACCAUGAGUAGCCCAAACAGAUGUGACUGAGGUGCAGCACCUGUUUGCUGAGUUUGCUAGAGGUGUUGAUACUGGCCAUGUAUCAACAUGGAGUUGUUUGCUGGGGUACCACCAUCUGUACCAGUGUCAGAAGGAGCUCCUGACUCUAUACCAGAUGUGUGCAUGAACAGGAAGAUAAUGUGUCUCCAUACCCUCUGUCUUCAUGCUUUCGUCAUGCCAAGGAAAGGAAGGGACAGGUACUACGCACAGGAAGCUGUCAUUAAAGUGGAGUGGAGUGAAAGGAACGAUAAGGAAGAAGGAGGGAGAAAGAUUGAAGCUGGAACAAGGCCUUGGAAUAAAAUCUUGUUAGACAAGGGACCUGCAACAUGGCAGCAUUUCCCUUAGAAAUCCUAGCGAAAAGCAGUAAGACUCACUCCAUUUGAACAUGUAGGCUUUGGCACAAUGUGUAUGCACUGGACUGCUGGACCCUAAAUGAAAACUAAGCUGUGUCUGCACUCCAAAUGGAAGUAUAGCAUUAGAGAGAUCCAGUAUCCUCAGUGCCAGGCAACACUGAGUCAUCUGAACCUGAUAUACAGCCUAAAAAGCUUUCACAU